rnacentral:rRNA from 1 species
UACGUAGGGGGCGAGCGUUGUCCGGAAUUACUGGGUGUAAAGGGCGUGUAGGCGGGGAUGCAAGUUACCGGUAAAAACCCGCGGCUCAACCACGGGCUUGCCGGUAAAACUGUAUCUCUUGAGUGUAGGAGAGGGAAGUGGAAUUCCCGGAGUAGCGGUGAAAUGCGUAGAUACCGGGAGGAACACCAGUGGCGAAGGCGGCUUCCUGGCCUACUACUGACGCUGAGGCGCGAAAGCUAGGGGAGCGAACGGG